rnacentral:rRNA from 1 species
AUGGCGGCCAGGCUCCGAGCGGGAGCACCGGCGGGCGCUCUCCUCGUGGUGGCGUGCCUGCUUCUCGCGACGGCGGCGGCCGUGAGUGGCGCCAGGCCGCUCGCGGUGACCGUGGAAUCGCCGGCGGGCGAUGCUAUCCAGACGGUGGGGAGGGCCGUCGAGCGCAGGCUAAUGUUCGACGUCGGCAUUCUCCGCGGGAUCAAGGACUCCGGGCCCAGCCCCGGCGCCGGGCAUUAA